AAAAAUGAAAAUGUCCACCUCUUCCAGAAAACACUGAUUUUUCCACUGGAAAGAAGGAAACAGGAGUGCCUCACUUGCUGAUUCUUUUGGGGAAAGAUGACACCGUGAAAGAUGCGAGACUGUUGGCUUCCGUGGUGAUGAGGUCCUUUCAGGAGCCCUGGACAAGCUCCCCUUUCACCAGUGGCAGAGAGAAAUGCUUUCCCCUGCCUGUGUGAAAUUUGCCUCUCCAUCCACCAAACCCACCUUUGAUGGUGAUGUUGUUCCUUGCUGCUUUCCAGUCCACCUGCAAUUAGAGAACUGCCUCCACCUGGCAAGUAUCAUGUAACUGGUUUUGGCUGCACACAUUUGCUAAUCAAAGUGUUUGGUAAUUGUUCGUCUUCUCCUCUAGCUGGUAGGCUGUUCAUUGAAGUCUUCAGGCUUUCUGGCUACUGCUGCCUGGAGAUUGGAAGAGAGAGACAUUUAGGAAGGCUGGGACCCCAAAGUUAUCAUGAAGCUUUAAUCUCACAAAUGGGAGCUUCCUGCUCAUGAAGACCAAAGAACACAGCACCAAGAUGAAAGUCCAUCUCUGUGGCUGGCUUGCUUUCACUGUUCUCAUGAUGUGCACAUCCCAUGGGACCCGGGGGACACCAAGGGAGCUGCAUAGGAACAAAGAGCUCUGCAGGCAGGUUCUGGCCAGCACCACCAGCAGCGUCGCUGUGCUUGAAUCCCAAGAAGCGAAGGUGCCAUCCUUGUUGUGUUCGUGCCACUGAUACAAGUUGAGACACCAAUCCUGAUCUGCCUCUCUGUGUUGGAUCUCUUUGUGAAAACAACUGGUAAGUUUGGGUACAGAAGGUUUGCCCUCUGUGCUUGAUGCAUGGUCAGCUGUUCCUGCCUGGGAAGAGGCUUGUGGGAGGCUGUGUGGUAUUCCCU
rnacentral:lncRNA from 1 species